rnacentral:rRNA from 1 species
GUGGGGAAUAUUGGACAAUGGGCGAAAGCCUGAUCCAGCCAUGCCGCGUGUGUGAAGAAGGUCUUCGGAUUGUAAAGCACUUUAAGUUGGGAGGAAGGGCAGUAAGUUAAUACCUUGCUGUUUUGACGUUACCAACAGAAUAAGCACCGGCUAACUUCGUGCCAGCAGCCGCGGUAAUACGAAGGGUGCAAGCGUUAAUCGGAAUUACUGGGCGUAAAGCGCGCGUAGGUGGUUCAGCAAGUUGAAGGUGAAAGCCCCGGGCUCAACCUGGGAACUGCCUCCAAAACUGCAUGACUAGAGUACGGUGGAGGGUAGGGUGAUUUGCUGGGUAGCGGUGGAGGGGGGGGGGGGGGGGAGGAACACCAGUGGCGAAGGCGACUACCUGGACUGAUACUGACACUGAGGUGCGAAAGCGUGGGGAGCAAACAGGAUUAGAAACCCCGGUAGUCC